AUUGAACGCUGGCGGCAUGCCUUACACAUGCAAGUCGAACGGUAACGGGCCUUCGGGUGCCGACGAGUGGCGAACGGGUGAGUAAUGUAUCGGAACGUACCUUUCAGUGGGGGAUAACGUAGCGAAAGUUACGCUAAUACCGCAUAUUCUGUGAGCAGGAAAGCAGGGGAUCGCAAGACCUUGCGCUGAUUGAGCGGCCGAUAUCAGAUUAGCUAGUUGGUGAGGUAAAGGCUCACCAAGGCGACGAGCUGUAGCGGGUCUGAGAGGAUGAUCCGCCGCACUGGAACUGAGACACGGUCCAGACUCCUACGGGAGGCAGCAGUGGGGAAUUUUGGACAAUGGGGGCAACCCUGAUCCAGCCAUGCCGCGUGAGUGAAGAAGGCCUUCGGGUUGUAAAGCUCUUUCGGCCGGGAAGAAAUCGUAUCAGCUAAUACCUGGUGCGGAUGACGGUACCGGCAUAAGAAGCACCGGCUAACUACGUGCCAGCCGCCGCCGUAAGAC
rnacentral:rRNA from 1 species